rnacentral:rRNA from 1 species
AAUCAACGCUGGCGGCGUGCCUAACACAUGCAAGUCGAACGAGAAAGUGACUUCGGUCACUGGACAGUGGCGUCCGGGUGAGUAACACGUGGGUAAUCUACCUUCGGGUGGGGAAUAACGUCUCGAAAGAGACGCUAAUACCGCAUAAUGCAGCGGCACCUUAUGGUGAAUAGUUGUUAAAAGCGGGGGAGUCGCAAGACCUCGCGCCUGAAGAGGAGCCUGCGGCAGAUUAGCUAGUUGGUGAGGUAAUGGCUCACCAAGGCUGCGAUCUGUAGCUGGUCUGAGAGGACGGCCAGCCACACUGGGCACUGACAC